ACCACAGUGUGUAAAAUAUACUACAACUUGUCUGCCAUUCGCUAUGGUAAGUUAGUCUAGCAAAUAUACAUGAGUGUCCAAUAAGCAGAAUCACUAGCAGUAUAAAAAGAGAUCCAUAUUUCUGAGACGAGCUAUAUUCAAUUAUAUACCCAAAAAUUGUUAAAAUAAUGGUAAGGUGGUAAUGUUAAGCACUUAAAAGUUAGGAAAUGCCAGAAUUAAUGUUGCCCAUGCAUUGUGUGUCCAGGGGCAGAUUCCAAAGAAUCGGGGUACCUGGCACCCUGAAAGUAAAUAUGGUAUCAACAGAGAUCUCUUCUGUAAAGUAACCUUUACAUGAUGUCUGUUUUGUUUUAUUUGGUAUAGUUUACUGUGGUUGCACAAGCACACAUCUUAUGUACUUAAUUAAGAAAUGAAUGAUUGAGAUCAUUGCAUUCUAAACUCAUCUUUCCAGAGUCUCCUUAAAGUUAUUUGUACAGGUAAUGACUCUUUCCUUUGGUCAGGUGCUGAUGAGGUUGCCAUCUCCCUAUAUGAGAAUGAGCCAGAGUAUGAUCUAGACGGACUCCCAGAGGUGGUGAAAAAAGGGUUUCCUGCUAUUCCUAUUGUGAAAACGGACCCUUACAUUUUGUGCAGAACAACUUUUAACCUAAGGACCCGUCCCCGUCUUGCUGCCCAAAGCCGAAAAUUGUCACCAGGUUCCCAACUUUUACAAAAAGGCAGGUCAGAUAAUCUUGGGGAGAUCUGUAAACCGACAGCUGGUGGCAGCAAAUCACAAAAGGUAGAUGAUGCUCAACAGUGCCAAGCAGAAACAGCUAUUGAACCCAUGGAAUCUAGUUCAAGAUCUCUUUGCAUAAAUGAGCAACCCACAAAAACUGUUGCUCAGACCUCUAGGGAGAAUAUUAACACUCACAAAGGCAGAUGUUCCUUGAGCACACAAACAUCACCUGAGCAAAAUGAAGCAGGCAAAAUCUGUAUAAUACUGUAAACCUGAGUAGUAUAAGGGCCCUACCGUCAAUAAAACCCUAACCCUGCCUCUUGACCCCUUAACCCUGCCCCUUGACCCCUUAGACCCCACCCACC